GGAAGGACUAUUUGGAGGUUGGAGAAGUAUUUAAGAGGGAGUAUUCAUCAGAGGAAGCAAGCUUUGGAAAAUACAUCAAGUGCAUUCAAGAGAGAACCCUAGCAAGGCAAGCUUCAUCCAAGAGCUUCAUUCAAGAGUCAAAAGAAAGUGGUUGAGCAGAUUUCAAGAGUCAUUAAGAGCUCCAUCCACCCUUGAAGAGUGAAGCAUCCUUGACAAAGAAGAGAGAAGUCACAUCAAGCGAUAACUAUUCUCUAAACUCUUCUUUGUAGAUUAUAUUGUUAUAUUUGCUCAUCUAGGAGCUUAAAUCUUCUUACUUUGUUUAUUAAACUCCUUGUAAAGGUUAGUUGGUUAGCCCGCAAACCCAACGGAAUAGG
rnacentral:lncRNA from 1 species